rnacentral:lncRNA from 1 species
GUUCUAAAUGCCAUCUGCAUGCCAUCUGCAUGCAGUUUGGCUGGCGGCUUGUUAUUCCAGCAUUGCCUCACGGCCGACUUAGCAGUGACUCACAGACAACCGACUCGAGGUACACAGAACUCACUCAAGGACUUCUCCGCCGGCCAGAGCCCGACACCGGGACUCUCGCAAAGCACGUGUCUACCCCGAUCGGUCAAGAAACAAGGUCCCAAAGAAGCCGAAGGCUCCCGGUCCCCAAGCUCCUCCACACUCUCCAGACCAGCAGUCUGGUGGGCUUGCCUGCCUGGUCUGUGGCUCUCCCUUACCCCCAAUUCCGGCCACCCCCCGCCAUCUCCAGCUCUGCUUUCCCGCCACCCGGAGCCAUCCCGUCCCUCGGGGCUGGUACCUGACUGAGAAGACGCGGGCGUGACACGAUGCCCCGCAGGUCGAUGUAGACUGGGGAGGAGAGCCCGCUCUUCAGUACGAAGCUCCCGAACUUGAAAGCCUGCACGUCAUACAGCUCGGCGACCAAGGGGCCCAGGGCUUGGCGGACGACCUCCAUUCUCGCGCGCUCAGUUCGCUCGGGAAGCCGAGGGGCUUGGGGCCCGUGACGUCACCCAGAAGCCCCGCCUCUUCCGCCCCCCUUUCCGGCCUGGGUCGCGGGCUCCCUCGAGUGUGCCCGAUGCUUCCUGGUUGAGGAGCUGGGUUUUCAAACCUGCAAGCUAGAUGGAAGCCCGAUUUCCCCCGGAGGGAUCAAUAGGCUUCGUUUAUUUAUUUAUUUUUUUAUGGUUUAUUUUGUUUGUUUUGUUUAUAGCUUAGCGCUUCUUUAUCUGAUCCAGUCACUGUUAACAGCCACUUCCCUACUCUCUCAGGGUUUCUUUCCAGAAAAUAAAAAUCCACUAAAACAGA